AGCUCCUCCAGUGCACGGACUGGGAUCCUCUAUUACAGCUGCGCUCGUCUGGGGGACACUCAGGUUCUCGUCACUCGGGGCCCCCAAUAUAUCAGAGGAAGAUGAAGAAGAUGUUCCCCCUCGUUGUGCUUCUCCUCCAUGUGUCUGCGGUGUGUUCUGACAGUCACUCUCUGCGCUAUUACUGCACGGGGGUCUCAGCUCCGGGGUCCGGGCUGCCGGAGUUCUCCAUAGUCGGAUACGUGGAUGAUCGGGAGAUCGUGAAUUAUAACUCAGAGAGCGGAAGAGCGAAACCGAAGGUGAAGUGGAUGGAAAAAGUGGAUCCAGGAUACUGGGAGGAUAAUACACAGAGAGCUAAAGGAGAUGAGGUUUCAUUCAGACAUAGUGUGAGGACAGUGAUGAGCCGCUUCAACCAGACCGGAGGUUUCCAUAUUGUCCAGUGGAUGUACGGCUGUGAGCGGAGAGAUGACGGCAGCGUCACAGGAUACGAUCAGCACGGAUAUGAUGGAGGAGAGUUCAUGUCCCUGGACACACAGACGUGGACAUAUAUCCCCACCAUGUCCCAGGCUCAGAUCUCCGCACAGAGAUGGAACAGUCGGGAGGAACAAGUGGUGGAGAGACACAAGAAUUAUCUGGAGAAUAUCUGUAUAGACUGGCUGCAGAAACAUGUGGAGAACGGGAGAGAAGAUCUGGAGAGGAGAGUUCAGCCGCAGGUGAAGGUCUCCGGUCAGAAGAAAGGUGACACCAUGAUGCUUCACUGCCAGGUGUACGGAUUUCACCCCCGAGCUGUGCACGUGAAGUGGAUGAAGAACGGGGACGACGUUCCCGACUAUGAGACCACACACACCCUCCCCAAUCCUGACGGCACCUAUCAGAUCAGGGUCAGUGCGGAAGUGAUCCCCAAAGAGGGCGAGAGUUACUCCUGUUAUGUGGAUCACAGCAGCCUGGGCGAGCCGCUGAACGUUGUGUGGGAACCAAGUAAUCCGAGGGUCUGGGUCACCCCUGUGGUCGUAGCUGUGGUGGUCAUCAUUCUUCUUGCUGCUGCCAUUGGUGGAUUUGUCCUAUACAGAAGGAAGAAAGCCGACUACACGGCGACCAGCACUUCAGAGACUUCAUGAUCUGAUGCGUCCGAUAAUGCCGCUAAAGCCUAAUGAUCCAGACGGGCGGCCAUGAGCUUUCCUGGGAAAAGGGAUAUGCAGAUUAGAUUGACAACUCUUUAAUAAGAACUGUGUGCUGUUAAUCUAAAGCCCCCAUUAACAGGGUCUUGUCUAGGGGAGUUGUUCUAAAAUAUACUGACUUAGACCGUACACACGAGCGAGUUGAAUGCGAUAAACUU